rnacentral:rRNA from 1 species
UCUUGAAGUCUUAGUGGCGCAGCUAACGCACUAAGUUGACCGCCUGGGGAGUACGGCCGCAAGGUUAAAACUCAAAUGAAUUGACGGGGGCCCGCACAAGCGGUGGAGCAUGUGGUUUAAUUCGACGCAACGCGAAGAACCUUACCUGGCCUUGACAUCCAGAGAACUUUCCAGAGAUGGAUUGGUGCCUUCGGGAACUCUGUGACAGGUGCUGCAUGGCCGUCGUCAGCUCGUGUCGUGAGAUGUUGGGUUAAGUCCCGUAACGAGCGCAACCCCUAUCCCUGGUUGCUAGCAGGUAAUGCUGAGAACUCCAGGGAGACUGCCGGUGACAAACCGGAGGAAGGUGGGGAUGACGUCAGGUCAUCAUGGCCCUUACGGCCAGGGCUACACACGUGCUACAAUGGCGCGUACAGAGGGCUGCGAACUCGCGAGAGUAAGCCAAUCCCUUAAAACGCGUCGUAGUCCGGAUCGGAGUCUGCAACUCGACUCCGUGAAGUCGGAAUCGCUAGUAAUCGCGAAUCAGAAUGUCGCGGUGAAUACGUUCCCGGGCCUUGUACACACCGCCCGUCACACCAUGGGAGUGGAUUGCACCAGAAGUGGUUAGUCUAACCUUCGGGAGGACGAUCACCACGGUGUGGUUCAUGACUGGGGUG